rnacentral:rRNA from 1 species
CCUACGGGAGGCAGCAGUGGGGAAUAUUGCACAAUGGGGGAAACCCUGAUGCAGCGACGCCGCGUGAGUGAAGAAGUAUUUCGGUACGUAAAGCUCUAUCAGCAGGGAAGAAAAUGACGGUACCUGACUAAGAAGCCCCGGCUAACUACGUGCCAUCAGCCGCGGUAAUACGUAGGGGGCAAGCGUUAUCCGGAUUUACUGGGUGUAAAGGGAGCGUAGACGGCAGCGCAAGUCUGGAGUGAAAUCCCAUGGCUUAACCAUGGAACUGCUUUGGAAACUGUGCAGCUAGAGUGCAGGAGAGGUAAGCGGAAUUCCUAGUGUAGCGGUGAAAUGCGUAGAUAUUAGGAGGAACACCAGUGGCGAAGGCGGCUUACUGGACUGUAACUGACGUUGAGGCUCGAAAGCGUGGGGAGCAAACAGGAUUAGAUACCCCAGUAGUC